GUGACCAGGAGGUCACCCCACGCAUGACAAGGAAGAAGGAGAAGGAGACUGAUUUCACAUGAGGAUCACGAAAUUGGAGGGUUGAAGUCUCGAUUAUGUCUUCUUUGCUUGAUUCUAAGGCUCUAGUGACAUAACGUUUGGAUGGCAACGGGUCAAACGAGUGAUAAAGCAACAACAUUCCUACGGGCAAAGGUGAUAAGUCAUGAAAAUCAACGGGUGACUUGAACCAGAAUCAUGAAAGAAGAAAACAUCUCACAAGCACCAAUAAUUCGAUUCGGGUGGUAGGAAGGCGAAAGUGAUCAAGUUUUUGAAGCGGGUCAACGAUGUGAAGAUUUAGUGAUGCCUUGUUCACUAAGUAAUAUGGGUUUUCUUAUUGGGUCAACUUGACUUAGUUAUUUGCAUUUUAGAGUUUAACUUUAAUGUUUAUUUUAGCCAAGUGCUAGUAUGUCAAUGUAGUAGUGGGUUAUAUUUGUUUUAUAAAAACCUUGGUUAAAAAGCAGGUAUUGUU
rnacentral:lncRNA from 1 species